AUUGAACGCUGGCGGCAGGCCUAACACAUGCAAGUCGAGCGAGCGGCGGACGGGUGAGUAAUGUCUGGGAAACUGCCUGAUGGAGGGGGAUAACUACUGGAACCGGUAGCUAAUACCGCAUACCAUCAGAUGUGCCAAGAUGGGAUUAGCUAGUAGGUGGGGUAACGGCUCACCUAGGUGACGAUCCCUAGCUGGUCUGAGAGGAUGACAGGCCAGACGGGAACUGGGACACGGUCCAGACGCGUACGGUAGGCAGCAGGGGGGAAUAUUGCACAAUGGGCGAAAGCCUGAUGCAGCCAUGCCGCGUGUGUGAAGGAGGCCUUCGGGUUGUAAGGCAAUUGCAGCGGGGAGGCGUUACCCGCAGAAGAAGCACCGGCUAACGCCGUGCCAGCAGCCGCGGUAAUUC
rnacentral:rRNA from 1 species